rnacentral:piRNA from 1 species
UGCCUGAAGUAAAAGAAAUGAUUAUGAAAUC